CCAAACCCCCUGCCCCUGACCCACCCAGACACCCCUUUCCACUCCUCGCCCUGGACCCAGUUGGCGUCUUUUGCUACAAUUAAUUUGCUGCAAAUGGAAGGUACUUACCCCAUCCUAGCUCGAUUGGGAAACUCCUCAGAGCAGCUAAAGCGCAACUAGAGAUUUGCACAUUUACCGACUGCUUACUCUGAUGCCGUCUUUCCUUUUAAAAGUUAUAAAACAGUAAACUUUAUAAGCCCCAGUUCCGGCUAUAUGACAUUUGGGUGCCAAAUGAAUAGGGUUUUGUCUAUGAAUUAGAUCGUAAAAUCAUCCAUAGCACAGACAGAUCGGCUCACUGGCUAUAAAACGUCACGUGGGGCCAUUAAAGUAAGUUUUAUGGUUUUGGGGAGUUGACAUCCAACAUUAUAUACCACAUAACAUAUAAUCUCACUGACGCUGGACUCCAUUUGACUCUUUUGCAGGCUACGUGUGCCGCCUGGUCAUUCAAAUUGUCAAUUUUAGGUCCAGAAGUGUCCAAACUACAAGUUCUCAAAACUCUCUGAAAAAUGGCUCCCUCCGAGUUAAGGUCCCCUCCCCACAAACCAGUCUUUUCAAUAAUAAUAUUUGUUAUGAAGGUUAUUGGGUAAUUAUUGCGAUUUUGUGAAGCAGCCCUUGCUGGAGGUGAAGUCUGUCAUCGCCUAACAAAUGAUGCCCGCGCAGUUCACUGCCGGGUUAAGUAAAUGCAGAGAAGAUAAAUCUGCACACCCUAGGAAUCGCCAGCAGAGCACGCUUUAGUACAAGUUCACAGUCAACUCGCCUGCCUGGGCCAGCUCUCCCAACAAUUAGGGCUGCAUCUUUAUUUUUAAAUAAAGAAAAAAAAAUGUCUCCAACUCCCAUUGCCUGCUUCCUCCCCAUCUUGUUCCUUUCACUUUUUUCGAGGUUCCCCGUCCUACUCCAAAUUUUCCUUGUAAAUGUAAUGAUGAGUAAUUUCAAAAUAAUCUCAUUUCUAUUUAAGUGCUGACAAAAAGAGGUAGGAGGCUGAUUUGACAGGAAAUACAGUCAGAAACACACAAAAAUAUCCAAUUCACCCUUUUAUUCCAAAAGGCCAUGGCAGAAGCAGAGCAUCCCUGAGAUCCUGGGGCAGGGGUUGGGGGGGGGGGCUUCCCCCUGAAAGAAGAAGCGCAGCUUUGUGUAUUUUUGUGGUUAGUGCGUUACAACUGCAGGUCAAAAAGUUGAGGGUCAAAAGUUUACGUUGUGCAGCACUCUUAGCCAUCUGCCCAGACAGAGUUUGAUGUCAAUGUUAGAGCUGCGAUCUUGACUAUCAGCACAAAAGAUAAAAUGGCUCGAAGUGACGCGUGUAUCACGGUAUGGACUCCAGGUGAACCCUAGUGGUUGAAUGACCUCAAUUACGGAGGAAAGGAUAGAAAAUUCCUCUUUUCAAGAGUAAUACAUGCUGUAUUUCAUCUUGAAUUAUCGCUCCCAUUCUGAGGGAAUAGCAGCAGGUAAAUAGGCAUAGAUUACUGAAACACCAACACCUUAGAUGUUGGAGAGCCAGGAGUUUGUUUGGGGGUUUGUCAUGAAAUAAAAAAGCUCAAAACUCAUCAGUAGACUUUUAAGAAAUAAUGCAGCAGGUUUCCAAUGUUCCAUCAUACCUUCAAAGGCAAGAGAAUGGGGCAGGAAACGUCCUUUAUUUGAAGCCGGUGAUUGUGAUUGGCCAGGUUUUUUUUCUUUUUAGUACAUAUAAUGAUCCCCAAAGUGUGUGAGAACAAGGGCAAACACAGGCACUUCUUGCAAAAUGUAUUCUUAGCAAUUUUCAAACACAGAAUGCUUUGGAACUGCCACCCACUAAAUGCAAAGGGUUCUUAUUGCUGAGAAGGGGAGGGAAGGAAAUGAAAACCUUCCAGAAGAGACAGGAUUCCUCCACCCCUCCACCAGUGAGAAAGUGCUUGUUGGUUCCACGAAAAUGUUCCUGUUGUUGGAAAUUUUUCAUUAUAUUUGUUGUUAAACCUAAACUGAAUGUAAGAGAAAUGCUACAAUCUAUAAUUGAAUAACUAAACUGUAAAGAAUAUGGCAUUUGAGCAGGAAGGUGGAAUCCACAAAUGCCUUCCUUCCUAAGACCACCCAUGACAGACUUCUAUUCUCCGGAAAGUAAUCUUUAAAAAUACAUUGGGAAUAAAAGCUAAGGAGAGGGGAAGCAAGCUAAGGAGGAAGAGUGGGAGAGUAGAAAAGAAAGGGGAUAGUGUCUUAAGGAAGCGACUGGAACCAUGUCUCUUGUGUGAGUUGCAACUGGAGAGCUAAACAAUAUUUUAUUUGUCAUGCACCUAUAUUAGCUGUAAGUGCUGGUGCCAUUAGAAUCUAUUUUCUGGGGGACAUAUUUUCCUUUUCUAUGUAUUGAUCUUCAGGUAAUUGAUCUUCAAGUAAUCAGUGUACUAAAAUAGAAGAGAAAGAUGAAAAUUGUUUUCCUAGACUUUUCUUUUCAACUUUAGCCAUAAGCUAAUUCAACUACUCAGAAUGUAGACUCUUGCAGGGAUGUGUAAGAUCAUCCCAAUAUGUUCCAGUUGAUUGGAUUUGCUGGUGCCAGGUACAUCCAGUAGUAAAGUAAAUAUUUCCCAAACACCGCUUUCAUGGAAGUAGUCAGAUUGCUUCCACUGUGCAAUGUGUAAAGUUUUCAUGCCAGUCGAGAGCUUGAAGCCAAAUGGGAGUGUGCCAGAUGAAAAUAGAAGACAGGGAACAACUGUGGUGACUGCUGCUGCAGCAGUGAACACUUCACCACAUCUGGGCUAUGGAAAUGAAGAAAACUGAAACCCCUCUAUUACUCACCAAGACAAUUAAGUGUCUCUUUGAGAAAACCUCGUUAUUGUAUUAUUGGUUAAAAAGGUGCCACAACUUAGCAACAUGUCGGCUUCAAUAAUCAUAGAUACAUCUUAACCAGUUUUUAAAGUAAAAGAAAAAGGUAUCUGCAGAAGUUAGUUGCUUUAGAGUGCUUACUUUUUAUUUGGAGGAUUUUGAUUUUUAGGACUCUCACACAGUCCUGGUUAAAAUUCAUGUAUAAUCCGAACAUGAAUUUCUCUUCUUAUGCCUGGGUCGUGUACAUUGUUUUAAACUACUGCAAGGAAACAACCCCCAAACAAUUAAUUGGUCAAAUGGCUGAUAAAUUACUGCUUCUCUAAAAAUCAUAUGCCUAGUGUAGGUCGGGGGAAGCCCUCAAAUGCGACCAUCAGGCAUUUUGAAAUUCAGCCAUUCCCGUGUGCGCUCCAGAGACGUGCUUCAGAUAGAGAACAGUCAGUCUGGGGGACUCUCGCUCUAAAGAACAAAGGACAAAUACAGUCAAUACAUUCCAUAACGUUUACAUUUCCUUUGCUUUUCCCUCCUUGGUUUUCCCUGAGAAGGAGUGACCUGGGCAAAGCACCCUGCUCUCUAAAAGACACUGUAUAGACCUUUUAGAAGCACAAAGUCCAAGGCCGAGGUGAACUUCAGGUCAGCGCGUCUAACAAAUAUGAAAAUGUCGGCUGGUGAAGGGCGAGCCUUGUGAUUUAACAAAGACUGUCAAUGUGUAAGAUUAAUAAGAAACAAAAUGCACACGGUGUCACUGUUCGGUCACUUUGAAACUUGGGACAGGGUUGCAUUCAAGAGGGAAGGCUGUUCCAAAUAUAUUCAAAAUGAUUCAAAUCAGAUUCAAACUAGGCUGCAAAUACUGCCUCCCUCUCGCCCUCCCUCUUCCUUGGACUCCCUUCGCUCUCCUUCUCCAUCUGGGAUUCGAGGACAUGAUGAAAAGUUAUUUCACUUAAUGGGAUUUUAAGAAAGCUUUUGUUGGGAAUAUAUGUUAUCCCUGCACGUGGAAAUGAGCAAAUGUGCUUACCAGUUUCCCAAGAAAAGGAUAACGCUUUCACCCUGCUUGGGACUGGAGCCAGUUGGUGUGCGAAGAUUAGCACGCUCCCUCUCUGCUCGAUUUCAGAGCAUCCCAUCUUUUCUCGGGCCAGAUGCUGCUGGUAAACUUGUUUAUUUAUUAAUUGAGUUAGUUUCUUCCUGGCUUUACUUUGGUGUCUUGAAUCUUAUGUGAAGGCAAGAGUUUGGUGUUUUUUUAAAAAUGUUUUUCAAAAGAUUAUUUGAUUCAAUGGAAUGAUGCUAUGGCUUGUAAAGAGAGAUUGUGGAAGGAUCAGAAAAGGUACUGAGAUUGUUUAUUACAGCCAUAAAUCUUGCAGUAAAAUGUCAAAAUGUCGGUGUGUGAGAUAACACUUGGUGGUCCUGGCUCCAUUUGUGUUUAUGAUACGAACCACAAAGACAAGUUACAGGCCAUGGGGGAUUCUGUGUAAGCCCAUCUUCCUAAAGUAAUAGAACCACAUGAAACACAGGCACAGUUAACUCGUUUAGGUUAACCAUAUACAAAACAGCGCCCGUGCCUCGUUAAUACUUUAAAAUAGAAACUCAGUAGAAGGUUCUGAGGCUAAACAACUUGAAUUUUGUGUUUUAGUGUCUGUAAAUAAUAUUAAACAGAUAUGGGUAGGACCCUAGUGCUGAAGGCUGAUGACAUGAGGAGGAGGGUAAAAUUUCCUUGUCAUGUUUUUUCUCCCUCUGAAGCUUAGAGAGCUCUGUUUUGCAAAUUACAUUAUGUAUGUAUAUAUUAUUUGUAUUAUAUAGUAUUUAUGUAUAUAUUAUUUUGUCUUGCUGUAGAGAGAUAUGGGUUUGGGCAGCUAUAUCACAGGCUAGAUUCUUCCCCGAGUCUAGAGAGGGGGCUCUAAAGAUUACACUCAGGGUUGAUUUCUGUCUGUGGCUCAGAUUUCAUUAAAAAAAAUUUUCAGGGUGCCCCACAUGGAUAGACAGCACUCUUCACAGACACACAUCCAAUGUGAAAAACCUCUUUGUACCACUUCAGGGUGAUUCCAGUUAGAAAGCUAACAUGAUCCCUUUUUUAACCUCUUUUCCUAAAUUAGUUUAAAGAUUAGUCCCAUAUAAUAGGCUUUAUGUGGCUAAGCAUUAAAUGACUAUCCAUCAAAUGGAUAUAUUCCAGCAUUUAGUAACUCAUAUGAGUAACCGAUAUAAAUGAAGAUAGAAUUGACAUUCCUUUUGAAGUGUCUCCAGGCUUAGGCUAUAACUUUCCUUGUCUGCGUUCCAGACUCAGUUGCGAGAAGGCUGUUUAUACUGUUCUUUGAAAAAUCAGCUAAGGUACACCAGCUGAAAUAUCCUUGCUUUUCAUGCCAAUAUGAAACUAUUUUUAGAAUGGUAACUAUGCUAGUUUGCACUGCUUUAAUCUACGCUGAAAAAUAGAGGAUCUAGGUGUGUCUCUCAGAAAAGGAAAGAGAAAGUACACGCUACGAGUAAGGCAUCAGUAUUUACUUCAGAGAUCAACAUUAGGUGGAAUUAAUAUGUAAUUUAUUUGUUAAUAAUGGCAUAAUUAGUUUACCCAUCAAAUUUCAAUUACUAAAUGGCAGGCAACAGUCCUCUCUCCCCCGCUUCCAGAGCUAGUGAUAUCGUUAAUAUGCUAAUUUUCAGCAAUUCAGAAAUUAUAGACUGGCCUGUAAAUAAAAGUUUAGCAGAUACAGCCUGAGAAAGCAGCAUCCAAAAGACAGAACAUAAAAUUCUUAGCGGAUAAAAACUCCUCGUUGGCGAUCAGCUGGGGACACUCCCUAUCCUAUCCUUAGCUUGUUUUUGUUUGCGGAUUGUUCCAAAAUAGGAAGUUGCUGAUUUCAAAGCUCGAUUUUGUGGAGGGGUCGCUUCUAUCCAUUCCCAUCCUUGUGACACCUUCUCUCUCACAAUCGCAUCUAGUAAACGCGAGCAUGUUUAACUCUCACUUCACCACUUUCAUCAAAUAAGUGACUAUUAGGAAAGUUCUGAUUUUUCUUAGGGAAAAAACCAAAUGGAUUCCGUCUCUAACAGAAAGAAAAAAUAAAAAGUGCCCAUCUGGUUAUACUGGAAUAGACUGGCUUUACAUCCUUGGCCCGAUAUCUCUCAGCUGCUCACCCACCCACCCCUUGCGGCUCCUGCCUGGCUUCUCAAAGCAGGGCAUCUCGGGCGCGGACGCGGUGAGUGCGAUAUAGGGAAGGGGAUCAGCUGGUGAGAAAACCCGUCUGUUGGCCUCAUUCGUUUUCUUCCGGGGCCAGGAUUAAAGCCAGGAUACCUCCUUGGUCCUGACGCCAUUCCCUCCCCCAGGCGGCCUCGAACCCUGGAGGACGCCAGGCCAGGCUAGGCUGGGCCCGAGGUCAGCGCCCGGCCGCGGCUACCCGGCCGCCCCGAGGCCUGGACCAUGAGUGGGGCACGCGCAGGGCCAGGCCUGGGUGUCCGUGAACACUAGAAGGCUGGCUGGCCCCGAAUUCCCCGCGGGACUCAAAGUUGGGGGGUUGGGGGACCAAAGCGCCAGCUCCCUCCCUCCGCCCAGAGCCGGACAGGAGCAUCCAUCACCCACCGGCGCGCUUCCUGAUCCGGGUUCGCGCGGGCAGCACACCCAUUGGCAGGACUGGGUCACGUGGGGGCUACUGGGCGGGGAGCGCGCGGGGCCGAGAAGAAACGCAAGCUCGCGCGCGCGAGUGGGCGGGGGAGGAGCGGCGCGAACUUCGGUGGCGUUGGCGGCGGCGGAGGGAGAGGGAGG
ensembl:lncRNA